ensembl:snoRNA
GCAUGUUUUGAUUUGAGAGUUGACCCACACACAUGGUUCUUUCUCAGUGUACGACAUGCUACAUUAUCCUGACUCCGAACCAUUGGCUGGUCCUAAACAAUGGGCUUGAUCACUGAAGAGAGUCACACAUUU